CGGCGAGUGAAGCGGCAAUAGCUCAAAUUUGAAAUCUGGCUUUCUUUGGGAGCCCGAGUUGUAAUUUGCAGAGGGUGCUUUGGCUUUGGUAGCGGUCUAAGUUUCUUGGAACAGGACAUCACAGAGGGUGAGAAUCCCGUAUGUGAUCGCUCUCCAUCGCCGUGUAAAGCCCCUUCGACGAGUCGAGUUGUUUGGGAAUGCAGCUCUAAAUGGGAGGUAAAUUUCUUCUAAAGCUAAAUACUGGCCAGAGACCGAUAGCGCACAAGUAGAGUGAUCGAAAGAUGAAAAGCACUUUGGAAAGAGAGUCAAACAGCACGUGAAAUUGUUGAAAGGGAAGCGCUUGCAGCCAGACUUGCCCGUUGUUGCUCAUCUAGGCUUCUGCCUGGAGCAUUCGACGGCGGGCAGGCCAGCAUCAGUUUGGGCGGCCGGAUAAAGACCUCUGUCAAGUAUCUUCCUUCGGGAUGACCUUAUAGGGGAGGUGUAACACGGCCAGUCCGGACUGAGGUCCGCGCAUCUGCUAGGAUGCUGGCGUAAUGGCUGUAAGCGGCCCGUCUUGAAACACGGACCAAGGAGUCUAACAUCUAUGCGAGUGUUUGGGUGUCAAGCCCGGGCGCGCAAUGAAAGUGAACGGAGGUGGGAACCCUCUUUGGGGGUGCACCAUCGACCGAUCCUGAAGUCUUCGGAUGGAUUUGAGUAAGAGCAUAGCUGUUGGGACCCGAAAGAUGGUGAACUAUGCUUGAAUAGGGUGAAGCCAGAGGAAACUCUGGUGGAGGCUCGCAGCGGUUCUGACGUGCAAAUCGAUCGUCAAAUUUGGGCAUAGGGGCGAAA
rnacentral:rRNA from 1 species